ACAAAUUCAAGAUAAAUGAGGAAAGUGUCCUUUGGAAAAUAAACAUCUACCAUCAGUCCCAUUUGUGGGUUCCCAGGGCAGCUGGUACGAAUCAAGGGGAAUAUGAAACAUCUUCCGCAUCUCUUGACUCACAUCUGGCCCCAACCCACCGCCUUCUGAGUCCAGAAGACUUUACAUCUCACAGUUUCCUCUGCCGCCCCGCAGGCCUGCUUGGACAGCUGUGGCUUGCCGGCACGAAGGCCACGAAGCUGCAGAUCAACCAGUGAGUAUGUGUUCUGUCCUCUUUCCAACUUCCUGCACAACCUGAGCUCCAGACGUGAUGCACAGCAGAGUGACGCAGGCCGGGGUCUCUCCGUGCUAAUUCUGAGCGCAGCUCCCAGAGGCCAAAGACAGGCGAGGCAGGAGCGCCGCCGCUAUUGGAGGAUGGAGGCAGGGAAUGUGGACUGAAGUCCAGAGUGACCCCCGGAAGUCUCUAUAUGGCAAAACCCCAGCUGGCCAUCAGGAGCAGGAAAAGCAAGGCAGCAGGACCAGGAAAGGGGUCAGGAAUGACUCUGAAAGGCUGGGCUUUGGGACGGCAGGAAGGGCUCCACGCUGAGAGCACCGGCUUGGAUGGCCAUCAGGAGAUGGGGCAGUAUCUAAGGAACCUCAGUGGACUCAGCCAGGAAAUCUGCAAAGAAGCCUCAGUUACAGUUGGAAUUAGACAUCAAGGCAAAGGUUGCUGAAAAGGGAAGAUCUUAAAGUAGAAAAAGAGCCAGGAAGGAAGCCUCUGAACAAACACAGAUAGGAAUAGCAGCUUGAGAGAACAGGCCCCCACCCUGGAUAUAAAGUGGGGAGCUGACACCGCGCCAGGACAGAGGCGUCAGAGCCAGCAGUGAACCCAGCUGGGGACGAGGCCAGAAGGGACACAGCCAUCACGGGGUUGAAAUCUCUUAAGCAUUCCUGAUUCAGGAAAGAUUGUCUUAGUCAGAUGCUUGCAAUUUUUCAGUAGGCGGCACACCCAAAACUGAUGUAGACGGGCCGGGCGAGGUGGCUCACGCCGGUAAUCCCAGCACCCUGGGAGGCCGAGGCAGGAGGAUUGCUUGAGCCCAGGAGUUUGAGACCAGCCUGGGCAGCAUGACAAAGCCCCGUCUCUACAAAAAAUACAAAAGUUAGUCAGGCCUGGUGGCAUGUGCCUGUAGACCCAGCUACUCAGAUGGGAGAAGCACCAGAGCCCGAGGAAGUCAAGGCUGCGGUGAGCUAUGAUCACACCACCGCACUACAGCCUGGGCAACAGAUUGAGACCGUGUCUCAAAAAAACAAAAAA
rnacentral:lncRNA from 1 species